CUCAGUUAUUCAAGUUCAUUUCCACACCCCACAGACAUAUUAACAGGCAUGUUACAAAAGCACUGCUUAUUGCACAUUUUAAUAUAAAACAGUAUUUUAAAAAUCAUAUAUAUGAAUAUACAGAAAGAAAAACAACACACAAAAGAUAUAGUACACUUUCCAUACAGUGUGUUGAAUUCAAAAUAAUAACAAACAAACAAACAAAAAAUGAACCCACUGUUGGUCAAUACAUUUUACUGUACAAAAUCUCUCAUUAGGCAUGUCCUAAUAAUCAGUUAUACAAUACACUGCAACGUCCAAUACAUAUUAUUAUUAUUAUUAUUAUUCGCGAAGGCAGUUUAGGUAGGCGACAGCUUUUAUGCUCCUAAAAAUAACAUAUUUCCUAUGUAAAAGACUAUGUAAAAGAUGGUUGUUUUAUUGUUGGACAAAUUUACAAAAACGUGGAAUUGUAUACUUUCCUUAAUGACACAAAAACAAACCAAAAAAAAAAAACAACGCACAAACAUUAUGCGUAAUCUGGAGAACAAAAUGGUGGAUAGAACACACUGAUGUUUUGAUGGACUGAGGAUCAUGCUAGAAAAGUUUGAGGUAAUGUUUAAAUCGUGUUUGUCUUUUUCUUUUAAAGUCUUCUUUGUGAUGCAACAUGGAAUUUCAGUUAGCGGUUGAUGCUACGUGUAAGUACGGUGUACUUGUAACUGAACGGAGAUUUUUCUUGAUAAUUUAUCGACAUAUCUGAGGUAAAUGUUGACGUUCCCGUCAGGACCAUCUAAUUUUCGCCGACACUGUACCUUUACGUUGUCCGUAUAAACAACUUCAAGGCUUUACGCUAGCUAAACCUGUAUUUAGCAUGUUUCCUAGACGCCCAGCAACAAGAUCUGUUGUUCUCACGACUUUAACCACCGGUGCGUUUGUCUUCCUGCUUUGCGUUUGAAUGUAACAUGUCCCCAACAAAAGCUUAAACCAUAAUUGAAUGUUGGCACACGAGCUAACGGAGAUGAAAUGUAAAACGGCUAGCGGAGCUCACGGCCUCGGUUCAAUCACUUUUAGAUCUGAAUUAAACGUUAACGGUAUCCGUGGCUCUGUUCAUUCAAUUUACAUCGAUAAAGCUGCUCCCGGUUUUCGCUGAGGGGAAAUGAACUUGAUAUUACGUUUUAAUAUUCCUAAAUUAACAGCAUCAACUGUUAACACUCCGGUCAUCGUGAACGUGGGACGGAGCAGCGUGUUUAGCAUGUGCGUGUUUAGGAUGAAAUGAGAAUUUGAAUUGAACCCAGUGGAAACCCAUUGGACUGCUUCAAGAGGAUCAUGUACAGGGAUGGGGACAGGGGCAGGAAGCAGAGCUUGAAGACAUGAUGCCGCCAUGAUGUUACAGUCCUAAUGUGUGUUUCAUCUCUGGAUAUAUUCAAGUACAACGAGCAACACUGCUCGAUAAGAAGUGUACAUUUAUUAUACAAUACUGUACAGCUACAUAUAUACACGUACUUCUUCUGUAUGGUAGACUAUAUAACCCAUGUACGCCGACCUAUAUAGGUCCUAAUUAUUAACACCACUGUGUUGUGUUUACAUUCAUACCACAAACAUGGAAAAUACUUGUUUCUGAUUGGCUGGCAGGUGUUUGUUAUGUAGGACAGGGAGUAUAGUAUAUAACGGUGUUCCCAGGAUAGAGAAAAUAGUAUAUCCCAGUAUUCCCAGGAUAAGGAAUAUAGUAUAUCCCGGUAUUCCCAGUAUAAGGAACACAGUAUAUCCCAGUGUUCCCAGGAUAAGGAAUAUAGUAUUUCCCAGGAUAAGGAAUAUAGUAUAUCCCAGUAUUCCCAGGAUAAGGAACACGGUAUAUCCCAGUGUUCCCAGGAUAAGGAACACGGUAUAUCCCAGUAUUCCCAGGAUAAGGAACACGGUAUAUCCCAGUAUUCCCAGGAUAAGGAACAUAGUAUAUCCCAGUAUUCCCAGGAUAAGGAAUAUAGUAUUUCCCGGUAUUCCCAGGAUAAGGAACACAAUAUAUCCCAGUAUUCCCAGGAUAAGGAAUAUAGUAUAUCCCAGUAUUCCCAGUAUAAGGAACACAGUAUAUCCCAGUGUUCCCAGGAUAAGGAAUACAGUAUAUCCCAGUAUCCC
ensembl:lncRNA